AUGAGGAAAAAUUUAUUGGAAUUUAUGAUUACAACUUAUGAUAGUAGUAGAAAGCGAUUUAUUAUUCGUCCAAAUAUUGACGGCAUCAGUGUUUUUAAUGAAGAUGUUUAUGACAUAUUCGGGCUACGUAACGAGGGUGAUGAUGUCAUUAGCAUGAUAGCAACAGUACAACUAGAUGCCAAAAAAAUUGUUCCAAAUCGGUUUCUAGACAAAAGAACAGGCCUAAUCCUCAUCGAUGAGUUGAUAAAAAAUAUUGUUGAUACUCAGUCAUAUGAUGAUGAUUUUGUGAGAAGGGCGGUAUUGGUUCUUUUGGGUACAGUCUUAGCACCACAAUCCACCAAGUUUGUUCCUUAUCGUUAUUACAAAAUGGUGGAGGACGUGAACGCUAUCAAGUCAUACAAUUGGAACGAUUUCACGUUGGGGGUGUGCAUGGAUGCUAUUAAAAAAUCAGUCGAAGAUCUUGAAAAAUUCAAGUGGCCUAUCGGGAACUUGGCUCUUCUUCAGUAUAUAUACUGGGAAAAAGUUGAGCCAAUUGGUGUGGAUACAUUUGAUCCAUUGUCUCGUGAAUACCCACUAAUGCUUAACUGGCCAGAAACGGAAGGGAAAAAGCGAGACGACUAUGACAACAUGCACGGGCGUGGCACCGGCAAUAUUGAAAACUGCGUUAGUGAAGAGUACAGACGUGCUAAGGUAGCAUGUGAAGGGACUGUCCCUGAGGAAGAAACGAAGAAACCUAAACGGAAACGUGGUGCCAGGAGUAGAAAGCCAAGCAUGUCUGCAGUUUCCUCGAGCACGACUUAUAGUAUGGACCGUGUGAUGACAUACAUAAAGCUGCUUCACAAGGAGAUGGUAAUGGAAAGGUUGAACACGAAUGGUGUGUUGUACAAACCCAAUAAGAGGGACAACAAUGACGAAUUUGAUAAUGUAGGUGAAAGAGUUGGGAUGGAGAAUGGCCAGUACAAGUCAUCAAAAUAUUGGCCAGAUAUUGAUUCACCUACCGACGUAAAGAUAGAAACAUCUUUCACGGGUAUCAAUGAUACAUCCGUGCCCGUUGAUGACACGGGUGCUCCGGCAACGACACCGGGUAAAGGUGAAGCUACUGAUCCUUUCAUUAUAGACGAUAAUGGAAACUCUCCAUCUUCGGCAUCAACUGUACGUACAAAACACUUUCCUUCUAUGUCCCGAACCCCGCAGAAUGCUGAUAUUUCCGGUGAGUCUAUGGAUGCUUUGUCACCAACUAAGCCUGAAGACACGUCCGAGAGUUACCUGGCAGAGAGAAACAUAGGUAACGGUGAAGGCAGUCAGGAAAAUGAUGGUAAGCGCAAAAGAAAAAAGUCGAAAUAUUGCCAAUCCCCCUACGACAUUCUCGUUACCCGCAAGAAACAUGUUAAAAAAAAAUCUCUUUGCAUCGUCAUCACAUUCAAUUCUAGCAAGUUCUCUUAA
rnacentral:rRNA from 1 species